rnacentral:rRNA from 1 species
GACGGAGGAUGCAAGUGUUAUCCGGAAUCACUGGGCGUAAAGCGUCUGUAGGUGGUUUAAAAAGUCUACUGUUAAAGCUUGAAGCUUAACUUCAAAAAUGCCGUAGAAACUUUUAAACUUGAGUAUGGUAGGGGUAGAGGGAAUUUCCAGUGGAGCGGUGAAAUGCGUAGAUCUUGGAAAGACCACCAAUGGCGAAGGCACUCUACUGGGCCAUUACUGACACUGAGAGACGAAAGCUAGGGGAGCAAAUGGG